rnacentral:rRNA from 1 species
GACGAACGCUGGCGGCGUGCCUAAUACAUGCAAGUCGAGCGAGCUUGCCUAGAUGAUUUUAGUGCUUGCACUAAAUGAAACUAGAUACGAGCGAGCGGCGGACGGGUGAGUAACACGUGGGUAACCUGCCCAAGAGACUGGGAUAACACCUGGAAACAGAUGCUAAUACCGCAUAACAACAAAAGCCACAUGGCUUUUGUUUGAAAGAUGGCUUUGGCUAUCACUCUGGGAUGGACCUGCGGUGCAUUAGCUAGUUGGUAAGGUAACGGCUUACCAAGGCGAUGAUGCAUAGCCGAGUUGAGAGACUGAUCGGCCACAAUGGAACUGAGACACGGUCCAU